GAUUAUGGCUCAGGAUGAACGCUAGCGAUAGGCCUAACACAUGCAAGUCGAGGGGCAGCACAUGAGUAGCAAUACGAUGGUGGCGACCGGCGCACGGGUGAGUAACACGUAUGCAACCUACCUUUAACAGGGGAAUAACCCGUUGAAAAACGGACUAAUACUCCAUAACACAGGGGUCCCGCAUGGGAAUAUUUGUUAAAGAUUAAUCGGUUGAAGAUGGGCAUGCGUUCCAUUAGCUUGUGGUGAGGUAACGGCUCACCAAGGCCACGAUGGAUAGGGAACUGAGAGGUUUAUCCCCCACACUGGAACUGAGACACGGUCCAGACUCCUACGGGAGGCAGCAGUGAGGAAUAUUGGUCAAUGGAGGCAACUCUGAACCAGCCAAGUCGCGUAGAAGGAUGAAGGUCUUAUGGAUUGUAAACUUCUUUUGCAAGGGAAUAAAGUGGGGGACGUGUCCUCCUUUGCAUGUACCUUGCGAAUAAGGAUCGGCUAACUCCGUGCCAGCAGCUGC
rnacentral:rRNA from 1 species